rnacentral:lncRNA from 1 species
GUAAUCCCACUAUGAAAUUAAAUAUAAUUAACUACAAAACUUCCGCAAUCAACAUCAUUUAAUUUAAAUAAGCAAAUCAUCGGUACUAAAAGAAAAACAAUGUGUUUUGCCAGAAGAAAAACAAGUAGUUUUAACAAUUCGAACAAAACUACUACUACCAACAAACGCCGUCACCACAACAAAUAGUAGAGUUGCCCGAGCAUCACCCAACCUAAUCACCCUUAUGCCAUCGCCGCUUGUUCAAAAACCUAAUAAAAAGAAAAAAGGAGACGACAACAUGUCAAUUUAAUUCAUACGAAAAAAAUUCAUUCUGAAAGCAAAAACUACUACAAAAUUAACCUAAUCAACUACCAAAAAAAUUCCUCUUUUCGAAGACAAAAUCCACUCAAAUUAUAUCGAAAUCCACUACAAACUUACCGAGAUCAAAUAGAAAUUCACGAAAUCCACUAAUAUUAACAAAAUCCACUACUAUUAUACUCAUCAAAAACCACUAUAAAAUAUAGAAAACCACCAAAAUAUUAACACAAUUCACUACAAAAUUAACCUAAUCCGGUACAAAAAAAAUCUUCUUUUCAAAGACAAAAUCCACUCAAAUUAUAUCGAAAUCCACUAAGAACUUACCGAAAUCUACUAAAAGUAACGAAAUCCACUAAUAUUAACGAAAUCCACUACUAUUAAGCUCAUCAAAAACCACUAUAAAAUAUAGAGAACCACUAAAAUAUUAACGUAAUCUACUACGAAAUUAACAUAACCCACUAAAAAAAUCCCUUUUUAAAGACAAUCCACUCUAAUUAUAACGAAAACCACUAAAAACUUACCGAAAUCAACUAGAAAUUAACGAAAUCCACUAAUGUUAAGAAAAUCAUUAAAUUUGUUUUAUAUUGCUGUCCUAAAAUUCUAAUAGAAUGCCCAGCUGCUAACUAAUUUAAAAAACAAAUUAACGUUUUUUUUCUUCUUUAUCCGAAAUUAGAAAUUACUCACAAUGAGAUGGUGCACACACACAAUAACACACAUAAAAAGUGAAUUUUAUGGAAUAUAUUCUUGAAUAAAUUUCAUACAUAUCCUAGGAAAUUCACAUCUUAUGACCCAAUAAUCACAUACAAGAAACAAUCUGCUAAUUUAUAAGAAUUAAAAGUCUUUUUCACAAUAUCGUUAUCAAAUAGGAAUCUUACCCACAAACCCUAAAAUCAUUGACGAUGAUUGACACGAGAAAAAAAAUUACCUUUUUCUACCAACGCAUAGAUAACGUUCGGCAACGGUGAAGAGAGAGGAAAUAGGGGUGGGGGCUAGGGCGGCACCGGGUGGGGCUGGGGCGGAACAGGUGGGGUUGGGCGGCGCCGGG